GAUUCAUGCAAGGCCCUCGGGUGAGGGACUGUCGAUCCCGACAGCCAUGCCAGCGCAGGGCCAAGAAAGAAUGUCCUGGAAGGGUGGGGAUGGGUUGGGCUUUCUGAACCCUCCCACCUCAGGAAGGCAAAAGACACAGAUCACAGGCAGCAAGGGGCUGCCAUUUCUGAUGCUUAUACCCUCCACGGUGGCUACAGGAGCCCGCACCAGCAGUGGGAGGAGCAACAUUCCAGAAGCUGCUUCUCUCUGCACCGAUGCAGAAACUGUGCCUGCCAGAUAGUAAUGAUCCAGCCGAGGGCACCAGGCUACAAUUUGCAGAACUGGACUGAAGAAUGGCUGACAUAGCCAGCUGCAGUGGCUCAUGCUUGUAAUCCCAACAGUUUAGGAGGCCAAAGCAGGAGGAUCACUUGAAGUCAUGAGUUCAAGACCAGCCUGAGCAACAUGGCAAGACCCCAUCUCUAUAAAAAAUACAAUAAUUAGCAGGGCAUGGUCGCACAUGUCUGUAGUCCCAGCUGCUUGGUAGGCUGAGGCGGAUGGAUCAUUUCAGCCCAGGAGGCAAGACUGCAGUGAGCCAUGAGUAUGCCACUGCACUCCAGCCUGGGUGACAAAAGAAAAAAAAAAUAGAAUGGAUGAUAUAAACUUUAUUGUUUACUGUGGGGUUGCGGUGGGGGGAGGCGUUAGUUCGUUCUUCUUUCUCUCAAUACCUUUACAAAGUCUCUGUUUCAAAAGAGAGCGCAGAUUAUGCCUGCUACCCCAAGUCCUGAGUCAGAAUUCAAAGGCAAAUAUGGUAGGGUGAUGAGGCAGAAAGGACUUAGGCAGCAGGAGAGCUGUGAUUGGUGGAAGGGGCAGGCAGGAAGAGUUUGGGUUUGGAGACACUGGUUGCUGAGUCAGAACUCCAGCUCUGUCAUUGCCUGUGUGACUUUGGGCAAGUUACAUGUGAUUGUUGGAGCUUCCAUUUCAUUUGCUAAAUAAUUGGGAUCAUAAUACAUACAACGUGGAGUUGUUAGGAUGUCACGAGAGAAUGCACAAGAACUAUUCAUGGACCAACCCUACUCCCAAAUGACAUGGAUGUGGAGCUUUUAGCACCAUCGAAAUAACUCAAUGAAAAAAGUACAUAACUUUGUUGUGAGCUCUUCCAAAAACCUGCACCAUUGAGCCUAAAAGAUUAAAGGAAAAUUGUUUUAGCAGAAAGAAAGCUCCAUCCUCAGGAAAGGCAAGCAAGGGAGCUGCAGCUAAGGGAAGGGCAAUGAAGAAGGUGGCAGCCAGACUGAAGGGAAGAGGGGCUGCAAGACUUGGAGUUGGUGAUGGCAACCCUGGAGAGGAAAGGAACAUGGCCAAGAGGUUGGGAUUCAUGCUAGAUCAAGAAGGAAGAACCCAGAAGCAGCCCAGAGGCUUCACAGCUACAUAAGAAAAAAAAGGGGGCCAGGCACGAUGCCUCAUGCCUGUAAUCCAGCACUUUGGGAGCCUGAGGCGGGUGGAUCACGAGGUCAGGAGUUCGAGAGCAGCCUGACCAACACAGUGAAACCCUGUCUCCACUGAGAAUACAAAAAUUAGCCAGGCAUGGUGGCACACGCCUGUAAUCCCAGCUACUCAGGAGGCUGAGGCAGGAGAAUCCAGGAGGCGGAACUGCGGUGGGCAGAGAUCACGCCACUGUACUCUAUUCUGGGUGACAGAGUAAGACUCCAUCUCAAAAAAAAAAAAAGGAUGUGACUAUUGCCAAAACCAACUUGUAAAACAUCACCAUGAUAUGUCACCAAGCUACCUACGAGAUGCUGGGCAUACCUUCGGUGGAAGAAAGAAACAGCUAUACAACUUUGGGUUGCUUCAUUUUUCUCUUGCAUUUCUAGUUCAGGUUGGUUUUGGUGUUCUGUUGUUGUUGUUGUUUUGCAUUCCAAAAAAAAUAAAAAAUAA
rnacentral:lncRNA from 10 species